rnacentral:rRNA from 1 species
AUUGAACGCUGGCGGCAGGCCUAACACAUGCAAGUCGAGCGAGCGGCGGACGGGUGAGUAAUGUCUGGGAAACUGCCUGAUGGAGGGGGAUAACUACUUGAAACGGUAGCUAAUACCGCAUACCAUCAGAUGUGCCCAGAUGGGAUUGGCUAGUAGGUGGGGUAACGGCUCACCUAGGCGACGAUCCCUAGCUGGUCUGAGAGGAUGACCAGCCACACUGGAACUAAGACACGGUCCAGGCUCAUACGGGGGGAAACAGUGGGGAAUAUUGCACAAUGGGCGCGAGCCUAAUGCAGCCAUGCCGGGUGUGUGAAGAGGGCCAUCGGGUUGUAAAGCACUUUCAGCGGGGGGGCGUUACCCGAAGAAGAAGCACCGGCUAACUCCGUGCCAGCAGCCGCGGUAAUAC